CGCCGUUCUCAGGGCGGGGUGCAAUUCCCCACCGGCGGUAUCGGGCCUGCUUCACCCGUGUGGCGACUUCGGUCGGCGCGGAUGCGGCAGAGCAGUCUGCGGCUCUCUCCACAAGCGGGAUGCCAAGGAUGCCCGGAGCCCGCGAGCGCUUCCCGUCUCCCGGUUCAACAGCCGGCGGCAGGAAGGUCAGCAGAUCCGGUGCGAGGCCGGAGCCGACGGUAUAGUCCGGAUGGAAGAGAGCAAUG
rnacentral:ncRNA from 2 species